CCUCCAGUUGCGUUGAGCCGCUCCCUGAUAAUAACAAUAAUUUUCAAAAAAAUAUUGUGUUAUGAUGUGAAAAUAAUGCAUUCUGAGUAUUUCAUUAUAAAAAAUAAUAAAUUUGUGAUAGUAUUUGGAAAUUUAUAGCCAAUAACUUUAUGUUUUCAUAAAAACAAUUUCAAGAGUAUUACAAAAAGGAAACGUGUUUGUGGAGUUGGGUGGAUGAGUUAUAAGUAUUUUGUUGAGCAAUAGUCUCCGCAAUUGGAAGGAUGGGCCAGAUUCUGUAAAAAUUCAAAGGUAAGCAGUGGAGAGAGACACAAAUACACAAAAUAACAGACAAUGUCUUUGAUCGUGUCAGAAUUGAUUCAGGAAGAGAAAAUCUCAAGUUUGAAGACCUUUAUAUUGCUGUACUACUUGUUUUCAAUGAUAUCAAUAAACGUUUGCCGGGUCCUCAUUUUGAUCCUCCUACAAAACAUCAAGUUAGAGUCCUGAUGCAGGUAUGU